rnacentral:rRNA from 1 species
GUUGGGUAGGGGAGCGUUCUGUAAGCCUGUGAAGGUGGCCUGUGAGGGUUGCUGGAGGUAUCAGAAGUGCGAAUGCUGACAUAAGUAACGAUAAAGCGGGUGAAAAGCCCGCUCGCCGGAAGACCAAGGGUUCCUGUCCAACGUUAAUCGGGGCAGGGUGAGUCGACCCCUAAGGCGAGGCCGAAAGGCGUAGUCGAUGGGAAACGGGUUAAUAUUCCCGUACUUGGUGUUACUGCGAAGGGGGGACGGAGAAGGCUAUGUUGGCCGGGCGACGGUUGUCCCGGUUUAAGCGUGUAGGUGUGUGUUCCAGGUAAAUCCGGUUCACUUUAACACUGAGGCGUGAYGACGAGGCACUACGGUGCUGAAGCAACAAAUGCCCUGCUUCCAGGAAAAGCCUCUAAGCAUCAGGUAACAUCAAAUCGUACCCCAAACCGACACAGGUGGUCAGGUAGAGAAUACCAAGGCGCUUGAGAGAACUCGGGUGAAGGAACUAGGCAAAAUGGUGCCGUAACUUCGGGAGAAGGCACGCUGACACGUAGGUGAAGUGAUUUACUCAUGGAGCUGAAGUCAGUCGAAGAUACCAGCUGGCUGCAACUGUUUAUUAAAAACACAGCACUGUGCAAACACGAAAGUGGACGUAUACGGUGUGACGCCUGCCCGGUGCCGGAAGGUUAAUUGAUGGGGUCAGCGCAAGCGAAGCUCCUGAUCGAAGCCCCGGUAAACGGCGGCCGUAACUAUAACGGUCCUAAGGUAGCGAAAUUCCUUGUCGGGUAAGUUCCGACCUGCACGAAUGGCGUAAUGAUGGCCAGGCUGUCUCCACCCGAGACUCAGUGAAAUUGAACUCGCUGUGAAGAUGCAGUGUACCCGCGGCAAGACGGAAAGACCCCGUGAACCUUUACUAUAGCUUGACACUGAACAUUGAGCCUUGAUGUGUAGGAUAGGUGGGAGGCUUUGAAGUGUGGACGCCAGUCUGCAUGGAGCCGRCCUUGAAAUACCACCCUUUAAUGUUUGAUGUUCUAACGUGGACCCGURAUCCGGGUUGCGGACAGUGUCUGGUGGGUAGUUUGACUGGGGCGGUCUCCUCCUAAAGAGUAACGGAGGAGCACGAAGGUUGGCUAAUCCUGGUCGGACAUCAGGAGGUUAGUGCAAUGGCAUAAGCCAGCUUGACUGCGAGCGUGACGGCGCGAGCAGGUGCGAAAGCAGGUCAUAGUGAUCCGGUGGUUCUGAAUGGAAGGGCCAUCGCUCAACGGAUAAAAGGUACUCCGGGGAUAACAGGCUGAUACCGCCCAAGAGUUCAUAUCGACGGCGGUGUUUGGCACCUCGAUGUCGGCUCAUCACAUCCUGGGGCUGAAGUAGGUCCCAAGGGUAUGGCUGUUCGCCAUUUAAAGUGGUACGCGAGCUGGGUUUAGAACGUCGUGAGACAGUUCGGUCCCUAUCUGCCGUGGGCGCUGGAGAACUGAGGGGGGCUGCUCCUAGUACGAGAGGACCGGAGUGGACGCAUCACUGGUGUUCGGGUUGUCAUGCCAAUGGCACUGCCCGGUAGCUAAAUGCGGAAGAGAUAAGUGCUGAAAGCAUCUAAGCACGAAACUUGCCCCGAGAUGAGUUCUCCCUGAGACUU